rnacentral:rRNA from 1 species
GAUGAACGCUGGCGGCGUGCCUAAUACAUGCAAGUCGAGCGAACGGACGAGAAGCUUGCUUCUCUGAUGUUAGCGGCGGACGGGUGAGUAACACGUGGAUAACCUACCUAUAAGACUGGGAUAACUUCGGGAAACCGGAGCUAUACCGGAUGAUAUUUUGAACCGCAUGGUUCAAAAGUGAGAGACGGUCUUGCUGUCACUUAUAGAUGGAUCCGCGCUGCAUUAGCUAGUUGGUAAGGUAACGGCUUACCAAGGCAACGAUGCAUAGCCGACCUGAGAGGGUGAUCGGCCACACUGGAACUGAGACACGGUCCAGACUCCUACGGGAGGCAGCAGUAGGGAAUCUUCCGCAAUGGGCGAAAGCCUGACGGAGCAACGCCGCGUGAGUGAUGAAGGUCUUCGGAUCGUAAAACUCUGUUAUUAGGGAAGAACAUAUGUGUAAGUAACUGUGCACAUCUUGACGGUACCUAAUCAGAAAGCCACGGCUAACUACGUG